rnacentral:misc_RNA from 1 species
GAUGAAGAACGCAGCGAAAUGCGAUAAGUAAUGUGAAUUGCAGAAUUCAGUGAAUCAUCGAAUCUUUGAACGCACCUUGCGCCCUUUGGACUUCUGAAGGGCAUGCCUGUUUGAGUAUCAUGAACACCUCAACUCCUUAUGGUCUUCUAUGAUGAGCUUGGACUUUGGGGGUUUUGCUGGCCUACAGUCAGCUCCUCUAAAAUAAAUCAGCUUACCGGUGUUUGGUGGGUAUCAUGGGUGUGAUAACUAUCUACGCUCGUGGUUUUCCACCAGGUAACCUUCAGCAGUGGAGGUUCACUGGAGCUCAUAGAUGUCUCUCCUCAGCGAGGACAGCCCUUUGAAUGUUUGAUCUCAAAUCAGGUAGGACUACCCGCUGAACUUAAGCAUAUCAAUAAGCGGAGGA